rnacentral:rRNA from 1 species
UACGAAGGGGGCUAGCGUUGCUCGGAAUGACUGGGCGUAAAGGGCGCGUAGGCGGUUCGUAUAGUCAGGCGUGAAAUUCCCGGGCUUAACCUGGGGGCUGCGUUUGAUACGUACGGGCUUGAGUUCGGAAGAGGGUCGUGGAAUUCCCAGUGUAGAGGUGAAAUUAGUAGAUAUUGGGAAGAACACCGGUGGAGAAGGCGGCGAAAUGGUCCGAUACUGACGCUGAGGAGAGAAAGCGUGGGGAGCAAACGGG